rnacentral:rRNA from 1 species
UUGUUUCAGGCGUCGAGCGGCGGACGGGUGAGUAACGCGUAGGAAUCUGCCUAGUAGAGGGGGACAACAUGUGGAAACGCAUGCUAAUACCGCAUAAUCCCUUAGGGGGAAAGGAGGGGAUCACUUGUGACCUUCCGCUAUUAGAUGAGCCUGCGUGAGAUUAGCUAGUUGGUGGGGUAAAGGCUCACCAAGGCGACGAUCUCUAACUGGUCUGAGAGGAUGACCAGUCACACUGGGACUGAGACACGGCCCAGACUCCUACGGGAGGCAGCAGUGGGGAAUAUUGGACAAUGGGCGAAAGCCUGAUCCAGCCAUGCCGCGUGUGUGAAGAAGGCCUUAGGGUUGUAAAGCACUUUCAGGAGUGAGGAAGGGUGCGUUGUUAAUACCGACGUACUUUGACGUUAGCUCCAGAAGAAGCACCGGCUAACUCUGUGCCAGCAGCCGCGGUAAUACAGAGGGUGCAAGCGUUAAUCGGAAUUACUGGGCGUAAAGCGCGCGUAGGUGGUUUGUUAAGUCUGAUGUGAAAUCCCAGGGCUCAACCUUGGAUUG